UUACGGUCAAAUCACGCUGAAAACACCGGUUCUCGUUCGAUCACCGAAGUUAAGCAUCGUAGAGCCAGGUCAGUUCUUCCGUUUUAGGAUGGGGACCGCUUGGGAACACCUGGUACUGUAAG